CAAGUAGAAUAAAUGAUCGCGGCUGAGGGCAUUACCCUCAGGUGAGGAAAGUCCGGGCUUCACAGGGCAGGAUGCCGGAUAACGUCCGGUGGAGGCGACUCCAAGGAUAGUGCAACAGAAAUAUACCGCCAUACGGUCAUCAUGCAUAAUGGUAUGAAAUGUCUUGUAAAUUUGCGUAGCAAAUUUUAGUCAUUUCACGCGAAGCGUGAACAUGCUGCGAAGCGUGAACAUGCUGCGAAGCAUGAAUGUCCUGGUAAGGGUGGAAAGGCAGUGUAAGAGACUACCGCCUGCACGGUAACGGGCAGGGCACAUGUAAACCCCAUCCGAAGCAAGGCCAAACAGAAAGCGUUAAAGUCUGCCCGACGAGCUUUCAGGUGGGCCGCUUGAGAUUGUUGGCAACAGCAGUCCUAGACAGAUGAUCAUUCACGACAUAACCCGGCUUAUCGUUCUGCUUGCUUU
rnacentral:RNase_P_RNA from 1 species